rnacentral:rRNA from 1 species
GACGUAGGAUGCAAGCGUUGUCCGGAAUUAUUGGGCGUAAAGAGCUCGUAGGCGGUCUGUCGCGUCUGCUGUGAAAAUCCAGGGCUCAACCCUGGACCUGCAGUGGGUACGGGCAGACUAGAGUGCGGUAGGGGAGAUCGGAAUUCCUGGUGUAGCGGUGAAAUGCGCAGAUAUCAGGAGGAACACCGGUGGCGAAGGCGGAUCUCUGGGCCGUAACUGACGCUGAGGAGCGAAAGCGUGGGGAGCGAACAGG